UCCCUCUGUUGUUGUCAGAUAGGUUUAUGCUCAAUCAACCCAUCAAAUGAAUCUAGAAUUCUGGAACCUCAAAUUGAAAUUUCUCAAGAUGGGAAGACACGAAGAUUUCUAUGAACAACGCUAAAAUAGCCCUUGAAGAUGAUAGGAGGAAACAUAAGCAAACAGGGAGCGGCUGCAAAAUACAGAGCUUAAUGGAGAGAUAGUUGAAGCAAGAGGAUAGCAAUGCUGAACUGACAAGGUUAUUGCUUGCAGCAUAAGCUGGGAAGAGGAAGCCAUGACAAGGUGCAGCAGUUCAUGGCCAUAACUGGCGCAAGGUAUAAUUAUCUUGAAUAUGUGGACUGGGAUGUGGUGGUCACAUAGCUAUGCAGUUAGUUGGUAACUAGC